rnacentral:lncRNA from 1 species
GAAAAAUGAAAUCAAGUUGUGCAUAUUUGGUUAAAUUAACGUGAUUUUUCUUUGAUGCUUCUAUAUAACUUGUAUUUACCAUUCUUAUUGUUCUGUACACUACACUAUGGUCUUCAAUAAUACGAUCCAAUUUUGGAAUUCCGAAAGUAGCAGCAGUUAUGCAUAGCACAUGAUCUGCCUGCCAAAAUGAUAUAUAGUUAAAUUUUGGAAUUCUGUUUCAUUUUAAUAUGAUAUAUGUACUGUUUGUAGUAUUUAUUGGUGUUUAUGUAAUGUUAAUUUAGUGAAAUUUAAUUUCUAUGUUAAAUUUAUUUUAGGUUGAAGCCUUCUUCUAAUCCGGCCGGCCACUUCUCUCCGGUCAUUGUCGAAAUUAUCUUCAAGGUAUGGUUUACAUUAUGUUCAUCUUCUUCUCUUCUUUUUUUGUUGUUUUUAAUUUGGGGGUUUAUGAUUUGAGGGUUUAUGAUUUUGGGGUUUAUGAUUUGGUGGUUUUUUAUUUGGGGGUUACUUUCCAAUUUAUUGUAGUUAUUGUAGUUUUUUCCUUCUAAUUUAGGGUUUAUGAAAUUGGGGGUUUAUAAUUGGGGCUUAAAAUAAGUUAUUGGGGGGUUAUGAAUUUUUGGGGGUUUACUGAAUUUGUUACUGAAAAUAAGUUACUUAAUUAUUAAACUUGAAAUUCAAUUU